GACGAACGCUGGCGGCGUGCCUAAUGCAUGCAAGUAGAACGCUGAAGAGAGGAGCUUACUCUUCUUGGAUGAGUUGCGAACGGGUGAGUAACGCGUAGGUAACCUGCCUUGUAGCGGGGGAUAACUAUUGGAAACGAUAGCUAAUACCGCAUAACAAUGGAUGACACAUGUCAUUUAUUUGAAAGGGGCAAUUGCUCCACUACAAGAUGGACCUGCGUUGUAUUAGCUAGUAGGUGAGGUAAUGGCUCACCUAGGCGACGAUACAUAGCCGACCUGAGAGGGUGAUCGGCCACACUGGGACUGAGACACGGCCCAGACUCCUACGGGAGGCAGCAGUAGGGAAUCUUCGGCAAUGGGGGCAACCCUGACCGAGCAACGCCGCGUGAGUGAAGAAGGUUUUCGGAUCGUAAAGCUCUGUUGUAAGUCAAGAACGGGUGUGAGAGUGGAAAGUUCACACUGUGACGGUAGCUUACCAGAAAGGGACGGCUAACUACGUG
rnacentral:rRNA from 1 species